GAAAGUAUAUUGAGAACAAUCUACGAAUUGUUGAAGGGAUGCAAUUUGAUCGUGGAUAUUUGUCCCCUUACUUUGUCACUGAUCGACGGAAAAUGACAGUAGAGUUCCACAACUGCAAGUUACUUUUGGUUGACAAAAAAAUCGCAAAUCCAAAGGAGAUGUUUAAAAUAUUGGACAAUGCUGUUAAAGAGAAGUACCCCAUCGUGAUAGUUGCAGAGGGCAUUGAGCAGGAAGCUUUGGCUCCAGUUAUUAGGAACAAACUCAAGGGUGUGCUGAAGGCUGUUGCUAUUAAGGCUCCUGCCUUUGGCGAACGCAAGAGCCACUAUUUAGAUGACAUCGCUAUCUUGACAGGAGGCACGGUAAUCAGAGAUGAUAUUGGAUUCACCUUAGAAAAGGCUGGCAAGGAGAUUUUAGGCUCUGCUACCAGGGUAAUGGUAACAAAGGAUUCCUCACUUAUAGUUACUGAUGGUAGCACUCAAGCAGCUGUUGAGGAAAGGGUUUCUGUGAUCCGUAAUCUUGUUGAGGUGCAUUUGCCUUUUACAAAGUUAUCUAAGCAUUAUAUUAUUGUUUAAUCUUUGAAGUUGUCACAGCAUCAAUUAGAGGAAAAUAACAAAUAAAUACAUGCACACAGACUCUGCAAUUUAGAUGGUUUUGACCUUGUCAGUGGGAUGACAAAAUAAAAUUUUCAUUGCAUUAGCAGCUCAAAGUACAGAUAUGCCUUUACCUUUUCAUUGUAAUCACAGAAGCUAAGAAGGAAAAAAGGGAAAACAAAAAAAUUUCUAAACCAGAGUUUAUUAUACCUGAAGAAUGGAAAUUUCAGAGUCUAAGGAACAAGAAUACAUUUGUUCAGAGAACAAACGGGCAUAUCCUGAGUGGUUAAAAUUCUCACCAGUAGGACAGGGUUCAAAUGGAAAUUCAGAGCUUAAACCAUGGCCUAAAACUAUGCAUUAACUAGUUUAUAGCUAGUCUUACUGAGUUAUUUAAUAAACUUGAUGCAUGGUCAGUCUUGCCCAAGAUCACCAGUAAUAUUGUUUGUUGAUUUUCAGAACACUGAAGAAAAAUUUCAAAAGAGAAUACUGAAUGAAAGAAUAGCAAGAUUAUCAGGAGGAAUUGCCAUUCUACAGGUUGGAGCACAAACACAAGUUGAGUUGAAAGAUAAACAACUGAAGAUUGAAGAUGCUUUAAAUGCUACUAAGGCAGCAAUUGAAGAAGGUGUAGUUGUUGGUGGUGGAUGUAGCUUUCUGAGGCUAUCCACAAAGGUGGAUGGUAUUAAAGAGUUGUUGGAUAAUGAAGAACAAAAGGUGUCACUCCUUCCCUCCAAUUUUUAUUUUUAUUUAUUCCCACUUAAAGUGUGGACAUCGUGACCGUACAAAUCUUUUGAUUGAUCAACUUGAAGUGAGCAGUGUACAAAUUUCAUUCUUUAAUGAUUCAUGUUUUUCUUUUACAGAGGCAUCAUACUAUUUUAUUAUAUCUUUUCUUACAUAGUAUAACUUUUUAUCAUAGUUAUUGGCUUGUUCAAUUGUUCACUGGAGUUGUUUUCUCGAGCAAAUUUUCAUGCAGAUUGGAGCUGAGAUCUUCAAAAGAGCUUUGAGUUAUCCUGCACGACUGAUAGCCAAGAAUGCAGGCGUAAAUGGCAACAUUGUCAUAAACCAGGUCCUUUUAUCUUAGUUCAUUAUUAUUCUUUAGACAUGAAAGUAGAAAUUUAAAAUUUUGGGCUUUGAAUUUUUUCUGAUCAUUAUAACACAAUUUGAUGCAAAAAGUGAAUUUUGGUAGAUUCUAUCAAGUGAUGAUCCAAGAUAUGGAUACAAUGCUGCAAUAGACAGAUAUGAGGAUUUGAUAACCGCAGGAAUUAUAGAUCCAACAAAGGUAUCAUCAGUUAUGUGGCUUAUACAAAAGAGGCACCAAGCUUAUGCAUUGCCUUAUUGAUGAUGAGCAUGGGGGAUAGAUGCUAAUAUGUUGCAGUGACGUAGAACUCUAAAGUGAUCUGGAAUAAUAUAUAUAACGGUCAUUGCCAAAUAUUUAUAUUAUAUUCACAAGUAACAAGUAUCAGUAAUUCAGUGGGUAGAAUACUGAAAACAUUGAUCAAUGAGUGGUUUUGGCUGAAAGGAAAUUAUAUCUUGAACUCGACAGAAUACAGGUAGACAACACCAGUGGUCAAGAAUUAUAAUGUAUUUGAAGUGGAUUAAUUGCAGGAAUGCAGCACAUUUGUUUUCCUGCAAUUAUAGUUCUUCUUUUCUAAUUAUCACUACAAUUUUUCCUAUGAUCAGGCACUGUUUCCGAAAUUGAAUGAACAAAAGUCAUUUCCACUGGAACAAAAAUGCUUGAACAUAAUUUGAUAUCAAAAUGCUCAUUAUACUCCGUCAAAAUUUGGUGCAGGUAGUUAGAUGUUGUUUGGAGAAUGCUGCAUCGGUGGCCAAAACAUUUCUGACUUCCGAUGCUGUCGUAGUUGACAUUAAGGAACCACAACCGCUGCCAAGAAAACCAAUGUUAGGAAAUCCAGGUGAAUCCACCUCAUUCACACCACAUGCAUAGAUACUUGUAAGAUAAUGUAGGCACAGACAACAGUUCUCAUGCUCUUGUAGCUGCUUAGCUAAACAGUGCCAAACUCUGAUGUUCAAUGAUUCAGGUAUUGCACCUAUGGGCUUACAGUUAGGGGGCCAGAGCUUGUAAACCUGUUUCAGUUAGAUGAUGACACUGCUUCAAUCAAGUUAUCCAAAAUGGUGAAGGGAAUUUUAGGAAGUGACACAGUAACAAAACAGAAGUGGCAUAACUAGCUAGAUUUUUUUCAGUUUCCACAUCAAAAAGUUGUCAAACACUUGUCAGUAGCCAUAUGAGAUAUAGUCCUUUCACAUCAAGGAGGCAAGGAGCUGUUUUCCCUUAAAAGAACGCCAAGUUACUCCUCAAAUUUGUGUCCUAGACGGAAGAGUAAGGCGCCACGAUAAGGUGGUUUCACAGUUUGGCAGACUUCAGGUGGAAAAUGAUUUGAGACCAAGCGAUAAUGAUCUAACAAGCUUUUGAGUUGCGGUUGAAUAAAUAUUCCAACUAGCUUCAUAUACUGUGAACCUGCUGUAUAAUUAUUUAUGUUGUACAAAGGCUUAUGUGCUUUUCAUUUGGGAAAGUUCAGUUCUGCAUGCUUGUUGCUUGUACCUCUUUGCACAAUUGUAGACGACUUCUCCUUCAAUGCAAAUAAACUAUGAGAAGCGGAAAAAAAAUUACAAAUUUGGACGAACUCAAGGCAAAUGCCUGUCAUAGAAUGAUCUUGUCUCACAUUGUUAUGCAAAAAGAAUUGCAGGACCAUGUUAUAUAUUUC
rnacentral:misc_RNA from 1 species